CAGUAGUUGGAGAAGUGUCAGAUCAAGGAUUGAAAAUUCUGAAAGAGUUCAAAUAACGUCUUGGACUAGAACAUAAAUGAUAAUGAAAUUGUUUUAUAUAUAUAAAUGCUGCCAGUCAUACCUCAAUUGUACAACAGACUAUUAGAUUAGGUCGAAGGUAGUAGCAGCAGCAGCAGCUUUUCAUACUACAAGAGGAUAUAUGCUCCAGAAAUGAUGUGUAACACCCCAGUCCCACAUCGAAAGAUAAGAAAAAAAUUUAUCUGCAUAUAAGGAAAUAAGUUACUACCCAUAGUACCUUCAAGUCAUGACCUUUUGGGUGAGCCUGUGGUGGGCUAAGUUGACCCAAAAAGAUACUAUUGAGCUAGUAGUUUGAGGCCUUAUUUUGAUGGAUUUGGCCGGUAUUAUCCCACAAUGGCUAGAGAGGCAAAGAUCUUGGUGGACUAAGUUGACCCAAGAAGAUACUAUUGGGCUAGAAAUUUGAGGCCUUAUUUUGAUAGAUUUGAUUCGAUUCGGACUUGGGAUUUGACUCAAUAUUUGUUCCGGACUCGGAAUUUGACCCGGGUUGUUUCAUAAUGCUACAGCUUAAUCACCAGCAGAUGUAUGCUCCAGAAAUGAUGCCACAGCUUAAUCACCAAUUAAGUUUAUGUAUAGAUGACAAAAACUGAUCAGCCUCAACGCUAAUACCAUAUUUCAGCAGUAUUUGUUGCACCUUCAAAGCUGCAGUUUCAACAGGAUUCUGAAC
rnacentral:lncRNA from 1 species